rnacentral:rRNA from 1 species
UACGGAGGAUCCAAGCGUUAUCCGGAUUCACUGGGUUUAAAGGGUGCGUAGGAGGGCAGGUAAGUCAGUGGUGAAAUCCCCGAGCUUAACUUGGGAACUGCCGUUGAUACUAUCUGUCUUGAAUAUUGUGGAGGUGAGCGGAAUAUGUCAUGUAGCGGUGAAAUGCUUAGAUAUGACAUAGAACACCAAUUGCGAAGGCAGCUCGCUACACAUAUAUUGACUCUGAGGCACGAAAGCGUGGGGAUCAAACAGG